CAUACAAAUAUCAACUAAUAACAAUAAUAAAAUAAUAAAAUAAUAUGCAUAAUAAAAUGUCUAAAAACAUACAAAUAAUAAUAAUAAUAAUAAUGAAAAAGGAAGGUUUUUUGCGACAAGUUCUUUUCUCCAGCCACCCCUGAAAACACAACUACGGCUACCCUACACAACAAAAUGCUUAAAUACUAACACACAGACCUUUGCAAACCAUAACCUACUGUCUUUUCUUGAUGUGUGAGGAAAAGGAAGGAGGUAUAUAUACGUAUAACCGUGCAUAAAUACACAUACAUGCAUGCCAAACAUACAUACAUGCUCACAUACACAGGGAUAUAUACACACACACACUAGAUUUGAAACACCCCACAGAGAUCUUAGCAUGAGUAGAAUUGGGGCCCUGUAUUCCUAUCCUGAGCGGGUGAUUGAGUGAGUAGGUAGAGUAAGUAGGAGAGGAAGGGAGGAGGGAUAUGAAAGGUAGAAAAUAUAAAGCCAAAGAAAGAUAUGAAGGAAAAAAGGAAGAAAUGAAAAAAAAGAUUGAUGGUAGGAAAGGAAGGGAGGAAGAAAAGGAGAAAUGUAGGGAGAUGAGGGAUGAAUAAAGAAAGUGUGGGAGAAUGUAUUUAACCCGGUAGCAGCGACGGGCCAAAUUUGUGCCACGAUAUAAACCCCAAAAAAUAGAUGAUGCAUAAACUGAUUACAAAUGCGUUGAUAUAUAUUAUGAAAUGGUUUGUGUGAGUGAUGAUUUUUUCUCAUUUUUCUCACUAAGAGGGACCAUUAAGAAACAUGAUCCCCGAAGCUACCGGGUUAAGGAAAGAGCGAGCAAGGGAUGAAAAAAUUGACACAGAAACAAAGAAAGAAGUAAAGAAGUACUGGAGUAAAGAAAGUGGCAGUAAUGAUGUGGAAAAAAAUAUGAGGUUAGAAAAGCAAUUAAGGCAAAUCUAAAGAGGCAAAAAAAGCAUAUUGAUUAAAGGACACAAAGGAAAAAAAGGAAAGGCAUCAAAGAGGGUCAAAAGUAUAUACAGGGAACUCUAACAACCUACCUUGCACACUUUUAAAAUUAAGACAAGCAAGACCUCACUCCAGUUUCAUGUCAAUUUUACAAGGCUUGAUAAAUGCCAAUAUAUAAUUAAACUAAAAUCAAACAAAUACUUAGAAUGUAUCUCUUCAAAACUUCCAUUUUAAUAACUUAAAAAGGGAGGAACAAAAUUUAAUAGCUUUAAAAAUGUAAGAUAAAGAUUCCCAUGACCACAAUGAUGGCCACUAAAACUCUUGAGCACACUAAGGAGUAAUUUAUCAAUGCAUUUCUUCCCUUAAAUUUCCAAUCCAGAGUGAGUUCCUGCCACACAUUUCUCCUUUCUUAGUAUGCAUGUACUUUGAGAUCCUGCCACACAGACGCACACACACACACACCACACUCAUGCACACACAUCCACACAGGGACACUGGGUGGGUGGGCAGGGUUGUGUGUGUAGGUGUAUAAGUCUUGUGGGUGUGGGCGUCAUUUAUGGAGUUGAAAAUUCUUAUCCACCACGUGUUUCAUGAAGAAUUCCCUUGAGCAAUAUCAUGCACGGCAGAGGAGUUCGGAACUGUCUGGGGUCACUGUGGUGCAGAACAUAACACCAAAACACACCACAACAAACCAUGGGUCACAUUGUUGCUGGUGGUGGUAAGUGAGGGUUGGUGAGAGGGAUGAAGGCCAGCCAAUGAAGGGUAGAGGUGAAUAAUGGUGAUGGCUAUUAGGUAGUGGUAAUGAUUGGGGUCCUGUAGGUGUUGGUGGUGGAUGAGUGAGGGUAAUGGUGGUGAUGUGGGUCAUUUGGGAGUUGCAUGUGGUUGUGGUGGGGGAAGGGGGUGACCAGUGUGGAGUUGAGCAGUGGUGAAGGGUAAUGAGUACUAAGCAUGGGGGCCUCUCUUGGUAUGGUAGUGGGAACAA